AUUGAACGCUGGCGGCAUGCCUUACACAUGCAAGUCGAACGGUAACGGGCCUUCGGGUGCCGACGAGUGGCGAACGGGUGCGUAAUACAUCGGAACGUGCCCGAUCGUGGGGGAUAACGAGGCGAAAGCUUUGCUAAUACCGCAUACGAUCUACGGAUGAAAGCAGGGGACCGCAAGGCCUUGCGCGGACGGAGCGGCCGAUGGCAGAUUGUGUAGUUGGUGGGAUAAAAGCUUACCAAGCCGACGAUCUGUAGCUGGUCUGAGAGGAUGAUCAGCCACACUGGGACUGAGACACGGCCCAGACUCCUACGGGAGGCAGCAGUGGGGAAUUUUGGACAAUGGGCGCAAGCCUGAUCCAGCCAUGCCGCGUGCAGGAUGAAGGCCUUCGGGUUGUAAACUGCUUUUGUACGGAACGAAAAGCCUUCUUUUAAUACAGGAGGGUCAUGACGGUACCGUAAGAAUAAGCACCGGCUAACUACGUG
rnacentral:rRNA from 1 species